rfam:Camelus ferus unplaced genomic scaffold scaffold71869, whole genome shotgun sequence.
GAGGGUAUAGCUCAGUGGUAGAGUGCAUGCUUAGCAUGCAUGAGCAACUGGGUUCAAUCCCCAGUACCAACA